CGUAAGGAUAAAAAGAAGAAUAAAAAAGAGUGGAGAGAUCCUAUUGGUCAGUGCGACCCUCGCGUUGAUAAUCGCGGCUCGUUAUUGGUUGAUCAAAUUGGCAACGUUGUUAUCGCUUGGACGAUACUAAAUUAACACGGGAUAUACGUCGUCGUCUUAAUUACAGAUCGAAAAAUCACGAAUUUAUAAGUGGGCCAUUACGCGAUGACGCAAUGCGCAUGCGCGAUGGGCCUGUCUAGACGUGUGCCGAGUAAACCAUCGCCAUUUUGAGUUCGCGAGUCCUGACAGGUUGCACGAAGUAUCGUCGUCCUCGGAAUUACAGAGUUCUAAGAAUUUUACGAAGUAUAUCAAAGCAA